rnacentral:rRNA from 1 species
UACGGGGGGGGUAAGCGUUGUUCGGAAUUACUGGGCGUAAAGGGCUCGUAGGCGGCCAACUAAGUCAUACGUGAAAUCCCUCAGCUUAACUGGGGAACUGCGUGUGAUACUGGAUGGCUUGGAUUUGGGAGAGGGAUGCGGAAUUCCAGGUGUAGCGGUGAAAUGCGUAGAUAUCUGGAGGAACACCGGUGGCGAAGGCGGCAUCCUGGACCGACACUGACACUGAGGAGCGAAAGCCAGGGGAGCAAACGGG